rnacentral:rRNA from 1 species
GACAAACGGGUCAAGUUAAAUUAUUGUCGGUAAAAAAGGAAGUAAGAGAAACUUAAUUUAAUAGGGAGAUAAAUUUUCUUUGUAGGAGUAGAAUCUGAGCAAAGAAGGGUGGAUUGAAAGUUCCCUAAAACUUGAUACUUCGAAAGUUAGUGAGGAGACCGGGGUUAGAUAUCCCGUUAUUCUUAUCGUAAAAUUUGAAUUUUAUUCUACCUGAGUACUACGAAUAGGGUCAAAAUAUGCUUUUUUAAAGAUAAAAUGAUUCUUUCAUUUAAAACUCAAAAGACUUGGCGGUGCCUUAAUUCUUGCCAGGGGAACCUGUCCUGUAAUCGAUAAUCCACGUUUUAACUUACUUUUUUUUGAAUGUUAGCUUUGUAGCAUAUAUCAGCCUGUAUACCGUCGUCGUCAGAUUACCUUUAGAGAGAAAAAAGUUAUCGGAAAAACAAUACUUAAAUAUAAAAAUGCUUAAAACUAAAAUUUAAGUAUUUAAGUUAAUGUAAGUUUCAAUGUCAGAUCAAGGUGCAGCUUAUAAAAAAGGAGAGAUGGGUUACAAUAUCAAUUUAAUUUGGAUCUUAGAGUGUAAUCUUUAGGGGAAAACGGACUUGGAAGUAAUAUAGAAUUUAUAAAGUAGUUAGUCUAUGUGAACGCUGUACUAAGGUGCGU